UCCCCCCUCCUACCUUUUCCCUUUCCUCUGUUUCCUUUUUUUUUCAAUUAUAUGAUUCUAACUGAUUUUUUUCCCUUGUUAGAGUUGGUCUGGAUAUGAAGCUCCUAAACGCAUGAGACUCUGGCAGCUUCAUCCACGAAGCUACUUGUAUAUGUGGAGAAUCAGAGUCCGAGAGACGAGCAUACCAGUACCGGUUUUUGGUGCCAAGCUCCGACAACAAAACCUGCUGCUGCCCGGAGUAGACCAGAAAUUCGUUUUCUUGGAUACCUGAACAAGCAUGCGAACUUUGGUUAUUCAUCUUCACUUUCACUUUCCUUUCAUCGGAAAACCAUUCACCCCAUUUCUUCUGUCCCUGCUCUGUCAGAUCCAUAACAAAUGGUCUAUGUGUUGAAGCCUUAAGGGAAGCAGACAGAGUCCCAGGGGUUCAAUCAAAAUCUUUCUCAACCACUUUCUCGGAAAAGAGUACUGCGAUGGCCUCGGGAUUUUCUCUCGUAGGAAUUGUACUUUCUAUGGUGUUGUAGGUGGAAAGGUUGAAUAUUUACUUCGACUCCAGAUUCAAGAACAUGAUGAAAUUGGGAGGGGCAUUGGAAGAGUUAAUUCAGUUUGAGGGCAUUCUCCAGUUAUGAUUCUGGGGUAAUGCUUCGUUUAGUACCAAUCAGUCUAAGCCCAAGCUUUGGCCUUUUAGCAUGAUUCAGCUUUAGACAGUACCACUCAAGAAUGCUUCUACCAUUUGAUUAACAAAACUAUGUGUUUAUUUAUGUGGGAAGAAGAAUCGGCCACCCUUGAAGCUUUAUCAAGAUCAGAGCCUUGAAGCGUAUGACCCUGGAUACUAGAUUUUGCACUAACUGUGGCUAUUUGAUCUUUGCAUUACCUGCUGUAUAUGUAUAUCAGCUCUUGAUGCAUUAUAGCUCAUGUGGAUGGUGUUAUCAUAACAUUUUUGUUUGGUUUAAAAUCUUGUGUAACUGGAUGAGUUAUUUUGUGCCAAGAGUUUGACCAUCCAUUUUGCUACUGAUGUGUUGAGAGGAUAGAAUUAUGGCCUAUAUUAAUAAUCCUCCUCCUUUUUUGGUCAAAUGUAAUAUAUCCCACUAAGGUUGAUAUGUAAGCACAGUUUCUUUU